rnacentral:lncRNA from 1 species
GCCGGGUCACCUUCUAUUUUCUCUCAUCUCCUUCCUUCAGCCCUUAUGUAAAUGUGGGGGAAAGAAGGGUUAAGAGUUCAAAUGAGUGCAUUUGAAAUGGGAGAGUGGAGAAGAGGGGAAGCAGGGAGUCUCUUCUGAGAAGUCAGUGGGAGAUGGCACCAGGGCAAUACAAAGGGAACUUCAGAGUCCUUGAAAGCUCCAUUCAGAUGGGCCCGUUAGAAGCGUUUCCAGACUUUCUGUUUGGGGAGAACUAGUGGGAAUUGUCUUUCAUACUGUUUGCUACUUUUCUCAGGAUUUGCCCGAGGACACCAUUGUUUUUCAGAGUGGAUUGGAAGUUUGGAUUGGGGGCAUUUGGGGUGGGGGGCAGAAUUAAAGUUCUUUUUCUUUCCCGUGGACUAGUUGGCAAAUACAAAACUCCAGGGAAGGGCCAUUAACUCACCACUGGAAAACCUGAAAGGAAAGGCUUAGUCCAGCUCCUAAGGGGCCCUAGAAGUAAGACACAUUACUUAAAAACCUCCAGUGUCCUUUCUUCCCACUGGUGCUGUUUCCCCAGUUACGCACUGUUGCAUAUGGAUUUUCUCUUGAAUCUUUUUUUUUCUUUUAAAUGUCUUUAGGCCUCACGGGACCUCAAGGACCUACAGGACUCCCUGGCAUCCCAGGCAGAGCAGGCGCUAAAGGUAAGUGGGUCUCCAAAGUGGGGGUGGGAGGGAAAAUUGGGGUGGGGAGGGGUCUUUACUGA